AAUAUAAAUCAAAAGUAAACAGAAAAAAGAAAAGGAUGAACAAAAGAACAAGUAGUGCGUAUGUCACUGGUUUCAUCACUCGUGUGAUGAUUUUGUUGUUGAUUUUUACAGGAAUAUCAAUUGGAGACCAAUGUGCCAUGAGAACUACACACAGAGUGUCGCCUGAGAUUUGUAAUAAACCUAUAGGCGCUAAAUUAUGUCAGCGAGCUUGCCAGCACGGAUUGGUUCAGAAUUCUAGAUUCGGCACAUGUAUGACUACACCGAAAGGAAAAGUUUGCACAUGUCACGACUGCGUACUUCCAUAAUCAAAAGAUUUUAUAUGUGCACAUUUUAUAUUAGUUUACUGUAAAAUAAUUAUAUGUCUAAAUUAUUUCAAUCACAAUUAAAGUAAAUAAAUGAUUGAUUUUGUUUAA